GAUCCUGGCUCAGAACGGACGCUGGCGGCAGGCUUAACACAUGCAAGUCGAACGCCCUGGUAACGGGGAGUGGCAGACGGGUGAGUAACGCGUGGGAAUCUACCUAGUUCUACGGAACAACAGAGGGAAACUUCUGCUAAUACCGUAUACGCCCUAUGGGGGAAAGAUUUAUCGGAAUUAGAUGAGCCCGCGUAAGAUUAGCUAGUUGGUGAGGUAAUGGCUCACCAAGGCGACGAUCUUUAGCUGGU
rnacentral:rRNA from 1 species